GUUUGUGUCCGCAAGUUAAGCAAAAUGUGAAGGCACCCGAGUGGAACUAUCUCCAUGCAUCGUUGCAGCUUGAGGAUAACAUCCUAUCCCCCAAAUCACCAAGUCAAUCUGGACUGCAAUUCAAAUCAAAGGGCUAUGAAGGUGGCCUCCUCACUCAUUUUGCAAGGGGAACAAGCUUUCACAUGGUCUAAUUCAAGAGGAGUCAUCAGAGGAAGAACUUAGCUCAGCUCUACAGUCCCCCUGGAAUCGAUUCUUUUUGAACUUUUUAUUGAAUUAUGAUAUAGUCCCUACAGCAGAAUGCAACCCAAGCACACCCAAGUAACUGACAUCUGGGUCAAGAACAGGACAUUGCCACAUUCUAGAAGCCCCCUUCUUGUCCUUUCAGUCACGUGCUUGCCCCAAUAGUAAC